rnacentral:ncRNA from 1 species
UCAGGUUCCCCUCAGGGGGAUUAAGAGGGAACGGAGUGUGAAACUCCGGCUGUUCCCGCAACUGUAAGCGGUUAGCCCGCGCGUCAAACGCCACUGGCGGCUCGAGAGGUUUCGGCCUCCGACUGCUGGGAAGGCGACGCGCACCGGCCUUGAUCCGCGAGCCAGGAGACCUGCCUGUCGC